AAUUUUUACAAGGGAUACCUUGGCUCUCACUUCGAUGAAGAACGCAGUGAAACGUGAUAGUUAAUGUGAAUCGCAACUCACCGUGAAUCAUCAAGUUUUUGAACGCAUAUUGCACUUCCCAAUCUAUUGGGAGGUAUAUAUUUCUGAGAGUUC
rnacentral:rRNA from 1 species